rnacentral:rRNA from 1 species
UUGGAGGGCAAGUCUGGUGCCAGCAGCCGCGGUAAUUCCAGCUCCAAUAGCGUAUAUUAAAGUUGUUGCAGUUAAAAAGCUCGUAGUUGAAUUUCGGGGUCAAUAAGUUGGUCGUGCCAAUGGUAUGCACUGGCUUUAUUGAUUCCUACCUCUUGACGAACUGUGAUGCCAUUAAUUUGGUGUCGCAAGGAAUCAGGACUGUUACCUUGAAAAAAUUAGAGUGUUUAAAGCAGGCUUACGCUUGAAUACAUUAGCAUGGAAUAAUGAAAUAGGACGUUUGAACCUAUUUUGUUGGUUUCUAGGAUCGACGUAAUGAUUAAUAGGGAUAGUUGGGGGCAUUAGUAUUCAAUUGUCAGAGGUGAAAUUCUUGGAUUUAUUGAAGACUAACUACUGCGAAAGCAUUUGCCAAGGAUGUUUUCAUUAAUCAGUGAACGAAAGUUAGGGGAUCGAAGACGAUCAGAUACCGUCGUAGUCUUAACCAUAAACUAUGCCGACUAGGGAUCGGAUGAUGUUAAUUUUUUAAUGACUCAUUCGGCGCCUUACGGGAAAC